GUUGCACAGCAUUAACUGUUCUCGAGUAUUUCAGCCACUUCAAUAAAUAUAUACUGUUCUAGAGCCACAAAAACAUUUAGUUUCACCCAUUUAAUUUUGAUUGUGUUUGCAGGCAGCAAUGACUAUGUGAACAAUUUUCUGCAGCCAUUUUUAGCAGACGGGCAACAGUACACACAUGAUGAAUUUCUGGAACUCUUAAUAUCCACAUUAGAUCAACAACUUAUAGUGAGAAAUCCUCCCUCAACUCAAAUGGUUUUAAUCAUUUUGUUUUACCAGAAAGCAGUGUAUCCUGAAAUUUAUUGACUUGCAGAGGCUAUACCAACUGGGUGCAAGAAAAGCAGUCUUCCAUGGGCUUGGCCCUCUGGGCUGCAUUCCUUCCCAAAGAGUGAAAUCCAAGAAAGGUAUAUGCUUGAAGCGAGUGAAUGAAUGGGCAUUGGAAUUCAACUCCAGAGCGCAGAAGCUAUUAAAUACUCUGAACCAACGACUCCCCAGUGCCAAAUUCUUGUUUGCAGAUACAUAUGGAGAUGUUCUGGAUUUAAUCAACAAUCCUACAGCUUAUGGUAAUUUUUUGCCUUCAUAAGUUUAGUUAUUCACUUUUCGAGUAUAAGAUUACAUACAGCUACACGUUUCAUUUUCAGGUUUCAAGGUCUCCAACACUUCAUGUUGCAAUGUGGAUACGACCGUAGGAGGCUUAUGCUUGCCCAACUCCAAAUUAUGCAAAAAUCGCAAGGAAUAUGUUUUCUGGGACGCAUUUCAUCCUUCUGAUGCAGCAAAUCAAGUUCUAGCUGAAAAAUUCUUUUCCUUACUAUUUUCCAAUAACCCUUCUCCUUCUCCUGCACCAAAGCCUUCUCCUUCCCAUUGAAAGGAGCAGGACAUUUGAGAGCUA
rnacentral:misc_RNA from 1 species